UACGUAGGGGGCGAGCGUUAUCCGGAAUUAUUGGGCGUAAAGGGUGUGCAGGCGGUUUGUCAAGUUCGUGGCGGCAGUCAUCGGCUUAACCGAUGGAGGACUGCGAAAACUGGCAGACUUGAGAGCGAGAGAGGGACAUGGAACUCCGGGUGGAGCAGUGAAAUGCGUAGAGAUCCGGAAGAACACCAACGGCGAAGGCAGUGUCCUGGCUCGUAUCUGACGCUCAAGCACGAAAGCUAGGGGAG
rnacentral:rRNA from 1 species